rnacentral:rRNA from 1 species
AUGAACGCUAGCUACAGGCUUAACACAUGCAAGUCGAGGGGCAGCAUGGUCUUAGCUUGCUAAGACUGAUGGCGACCGGCGCACGGGUGAGUAACACGUAUCCAACCUGCCGUCUACUCUUGGACAGCCUUCUGAAAGGAAGAUUAAUACAAGAUGGCAUCAUGAGUCCGCAUGUUCACAUGAUUAAAGGUAUUCCGGUAGACGAUGGGGAUGCGUUCCAUUAGAUAGUAGGCGGGGUAACGGCCCACCUAGUCUUCGAUGGAUAGGGGUUCUGAGAGGAAGGUCCCCCACAUUGGAACUGAGACACGGUCCAAACUCCUACGGGAGGCAGCAGUGAGGAAUAUUGGUCAAUGGGCGAGAGCCUGAACCAGCCAAGUAGCGUGAAGGAUGACUGCCCUAUGGGUUGUAAACUUCUUUUAUAAAGGAAUAAAGUCGGGUAUGCAUACCCGUUUGCAUGUACUUUAUGAAUAAGGAUCGGCUAACUCCGUGCCAGCAGCCGCGGUAAUACGGAGGAUCCGAGCGUUAUCCGGAUUUAUUGGGUUUAAAGGGAGCGUAGAUGGAUGUUUAAGUCAGUUGUGAAAGUUUGCGGCUCAACCGUAAAAUUGCAGUUGAUACUGGAUAUCUUGAGUGCAGUUGAGGCAGGCGGAAUUCGUGGUGUAGCGGUGAAAUGCUUAGAUAUCACGAAGAACUCCGAUUGCGAAGGCAGCCUGCUAAGCUGCAACUGACAUUGAGGCUCGAAAGUGUGGGUAUCAAACAGGAUUAGAUACCCUGGUAGUCCACACGGUAAACGAUGAAUACUCGCUGUUUGCGAUAUACGGCAAGCGGCCAAGCGAAAGCGUUAAGUAUUCCACCUGGGGAGUACGCCGGCAACGGUGAAACUCAAAGGAAUUGACGGGGGCCCGCACAAGCGGUGGAGUAUGUGGUUUAAUUCGAAGCAACGCGAAGAACCUUACCAGCACUUGACAUCCAACUAACGAAAUAGAGAUAUAUUAGGUGCCCUUCGGGGAAAGUUGAGACAGGUGGUGCAUGGUUGUCGUCAGCUCGUGCCGUGAGGUGUUGGGUUAAGUCCCGCAACGAGCGCAACCCCUGUCCUUAGUUGCCAGCAUGUAGAGAUGGGAACUCUAAGGAGACUGCCGUAGAUAAUACGGAGGAAGGUGGGGAUGACGUCAAAUCAUCAUGCCCCUUAUGACCUGGGCUACACACGUACUACAAUGGACAUUAACAGAGGGAAGCAAUACAGCGAUGUGGAGCAAACCCCUAAAAAUGUUCUCAGUUCAGAUUGCAGGCUGCAACUCGCCUGCAUGAAGUCGGAAUUGCUAGUAAUCGCGGAUCAGCAUGCCGCGGUGAAUACGUUCCCGGGCCUUGUACACACCGCCCGUCACACCAUGAGAGCCGGGGGGACCCGAAGUCGGUAGUCUAACCGCAAGGAGGACGCCGCCGAAGGUAAAACUGGUGAUUGGGGUG